GGGGGGGGUAUCGGAUUACUGGGCGUAAGCGUGCGUAGGCGGCUGAUUAAGUCGGAUGUGAAAUCCCUGAGCUUAACUUAGGAAUUGCAUUCGAUACUGGUCAGCUAGAGUAUGGGAGAGGAUGGUAGAAUUCCAGGUGUAGCGGUGAAAUGCGUAGAGAUCUGGAGGAAUACCGAUGGCGAAGGCAGCCAUCUGGCCUAAUACUGCCGCUGAGGUACGAAAGCAUGGGGAGCAAACAGGAUUAGAUACCCUGGUAGUCCAUGCCGUAAACGAUGUCUACUAGCCGUUGGGGCCUUUGAGGCUUUAGUGGCGCAGCUAACGCGAUAAGUAGACCGCCUGGGGAGUACGGUCGCAAGACUAAAACUCAAAUGAAUUGACGGGGGCCCGCACAAGCGGUGGAGCAUGUGGUUUAAUUCGAUGCAACGCGAAGAACCUUACCUGGUCUUGACAUAGUAAGAACUUUCCAGAGAUGGAUUGGUGCCUUCGGGAACUUACAUACAGGUGCUGCAUGGCUGUUGUCAGCUCGUGUCGUGAGAUGUUGGGUUAAGUCCCGCAACGAGCGCAACCCUUUUCCUUAUUUGCCAGCACUUCGGGUGGGAACUUUAAGGAUACUGCCAGUGACAAACUGGAGGAAGGCGGGGACGACGUCAAGUCAUCAUGGCCCUUACGACCAGGGCUACACACGUGCUACAAUGGUCGGUACAAAGGGUUGCUACCUAGCGAUAGGAUGCUAAUCUCAAAAAGCCGAUCGUAGUCCGGAUUGGAGUCUGCAACUCGACUCCAUGAAGUCGGAAUCGCUAGUAAUCGCGGAUCAGAAUGCCGCGGUGAAUACGUUCCCGGGCCUUGUACACACCGCCCGUCACACCAUGGGAGUUUGUUGCACCAGAAGUAGCUAGCCUAACUGCAAAGAGGGCGGUUACCACGGUGUGGCCGAUGACUGGGGUGAAGUCGUAACAAGGUAAC
rnacentral:rRNA from 1 species